GGAGAAGGGAUUUAGCUUGGUGGUAGAGCAUCCACCUUAGAUGCCGAAGGUCACAGGUUCAAUCCCUGGUGUCUCCA